CAGCAAAUUAAGAUCUACAAAUAAGUCAACAUGACCAAAAUUGUCAGAGAACCCCUUAAGGAGUUAUUGUCCUUUAUAGUCAAUAUUGAACAACUUUUUGUCAUUUUUGUAACUUGUACAAAAAUCUUCUUUUCUAAAACUAUGGGUCAAAUUUAACCAAACUUGGCCACAAUCAUUACUAGGGUAUCUAUUUUAAAAAAGUGUCUAAUGACCCCGCCUACCAACCGAGAUGGCUGACAUCAGUAAAUACAGUAACAGGUGAGCGACACAGGCUCUUGAGAGCCUCUAGUUUUUAAUCUAAAGACUUUCAUUAUCAAAAUUAUAAAAAGGUGAGGUAUAUAUGUAGGACUCUAAAGUGCGAUGGGGACGCUAAAAUGUGAUGGUCACGCUAAAGUGCGAUGGCCUACGCUAAAGUACGAUGGUUUGAUACACUAAUGUGCGUUUUUCUGCAAAUACAUCGACGUUAUAAACGUUUGAAAGCAUUAUGACGAGAAUGUUUGUCCAGAUUAAGGAUUUUUAUUACACGAGAAAAAAAAACAAGAGA
rnacentral:lncRNA from 1 species